ensembl:lncRNA
GUUAGAAGAGCACACAUAGAGGCUGGCGGUUGAUUACCCCUCUUUGCUGUCUAACGCAGCAGAGCUCUGAGAUGGACGUUGCGAUGCUAUGUGAGGUCUUAGUGUGCUUUGGAUCGUAUCACACAGAGGUUGUGGCUUCUGCUUCUUCUGAGGAUGCUUGAAUUUAAAGACAGAACCCAGGGAUUUUUUUUUUUUUUUUCUUUAAAGAAAUGCCUUGUAGAAGAGGACAGUUCUACAAUUGCUUGCACCAAGGACAAUUCUUUGAUAAUAUUUUAAUGUUGUUUUGGCUUCAUCUGAAUGUAAGUGCAAGGCUGAGAAAUAGACUUAAAACAACCCCAGAUUCAGUCCUGCUGAUUCAGGCACCAGAGAUGCCCUUUCCGCAUUCCCUGGAAGUUACAGUCUGGGGUUCCCUGCUCCUGUUCCCUGCUCUUCUUUACCUGAGGCCACGGAGUGGGGGCAGCUCCUCAUGGGAGGAAGAUGGCCUUCUCCUCACGAGGCAUUGGUUCGGGUGAUUAAUGCUGCUGUUGGGUCUUCGCUGCUGUCCUGUGACUAAGCCGAUCCCAAGUGCCUCCGGCAAAGACCAGUCCUUCAUCUCUGAAGAGCGUCUGUUAACCUCUCUCGAUGGAUACCAAGUUGGGAUUUGUACCACGUGCUGGCUGGAAGUCCAAACUUUAAGCACAGCCAUGAAUCUCAGAGCAACAUGUCCAAGACUCAAGUACAGGCAAUAUAGCCAGCCUGCCCGUGAGGCACUGAGGGAGAUGAAGAAGGUUGGAGAUCUGGAAAAUGGUGGAAUGCCUUGGACUGGAGGGGAGCCACCCAGUGUCCUCGAGGUGCUGGAGGACAGGUGCCCUCGUGGUGUUGGAGGACGGGUAUCCAGUGUCAUGGCCUGGCACACCCCUUCCUCUGUGAUGCGAGACUUCUCUUCCCCAUGAUCAUCACUGUCCUGAGGAGGACUGAGAAGGACCCUGUGACGACCCUUCCAGAAGAAAAAGAUUCUUGGAAAAGAGAGCUGGUUCUUAGUUCCUACUGGAAAAAAAUACCCUGCUGGGCCCUGGAUGGGAGCCACUCUUUCCAGUGGAAACACUGACUUGCAGCACCACAGUCUAUUGUAAAAUCUACAGAAAUGUGGGUAAAAAUCUUGCAUCUGGUUUGAGAUUUAUCUCUGCUACCAGGUCAGCCUGUCUGCAUUUUUGACUCUGGAUGGUUGGUCAUCCAGGACUGGGAGCUGCCUCAAAGGAUAAAAAAGAAUUAUUGGGAAAAACAUCAAGAAUGGAUUUUCUUUUGCUGUCACAGUGUCUUAUUAAAAAAUUAUUUUCUGAACAAGCUGGCAGAAAUGAGGUAAAUGUGAGUUGCUCUGAGGAUGUUCAAGAAGCAGCUUUUGGGGACCACAUUGCCUUGGCCAUCUCACGAUGAAAAUCAUGAAACAGGCUUUGAUAUAGCAUGCAUGCCUUAAAUCUGGGGCUUCUCCAAGACACAACUUUGUAAAGCUCAUGGCACUGCUGAGGCAGCACGUAAAGGCCCUGGUUCACCAUCUCCCAGCAUUGCUGUGUGCGCCUGAGCGAGGGAGCGACUUCAGAGCACGUGCUGGGCGAAGUUCUGCUCUCUGCCCAGAACCGCCGGUCUUCUCUGUGGAGAAACUGUUCAACAGUCAUGUUUGUACCCUCACUCGUACGCUGUUUGCCAUCUCUGCAGGGUUUUAUAUCCUGCGUACAGGUGCUCACUUCCCUACCUGCUACUCUGUUCUAGUCCUGAUCUUAAAAAAUUUCAACAGUGAUUUUACCAUUUCAUGGUGUGCACGUAAGUGGCUACAUCUAUUCUGUGGAAUGAAGGUAUCUGAAUGUGGCAUGAAAAUUUGAGAAAAUUCCUUUACCGUGGCAAUGAAGGCUGGGAUAAGUUGUGAACUGCACAUAUCUCUCUGAUUUAAAUAAUAGUGGAGUAUGCCUGUUAACACCUGCUCUGUUGUGCUGCUGACGAGAGUGAUUG